rnacentral:rRNA from 1 species
CACGUAGUUAGCCGGCGCUUCUUCUGCAGGUACCGUCACUUGCGCUUCUUCCCUGCUGAAAGAGGUUUACAACCCGAAGGCCUUCAUCCCUCACGCGGCGUCGCUGCAUCAGGCUUGCGCCCAUUGUGCAAUAUUCCCCACUGCUGCCUCCCGUAGGAGUCUGGGCCGUGUCUCAGUCCCAGUGUGGCCGGUCGCCCUCUCAGGCCGGCUACCCGUCGUCGCCUUGGUAGGCCAUCACCCCACCAACAAGCUGAUAGGCCGCGAGCCCAUCCCUGACCGAAAAACUUUCCAACCACUCCCAUGCGAAGGUAGCUCAUAUCCGGUAUUAGCCCCGGUUUCCCGGAGUUAUCCCGAAGUCAAGGGCAGGUUACUCACGUGUUACUCACCCGUUCGCCACUAAUCCACCAGCAAGCUGGGCUUCAUCGUUCGACUUGCAUGUGUUAAGCACGCCGCCAGCGUUCGUCCUGAGCCAGGAUCAAACUCU